rnacentral:lncRNA from 1 species
AAGAAGGAAGCCAAAGCUAACAACAUUUUGAACAUAUUUUUGCAUGUCAAUUUCAUUUGCACAAGAAACAAACAUCCCACAUGCUGGGAAAUCAUUCUUUUCCUGUAGAUAUUAGACUGUCAGGAAGAUUUUCAGAUCACUAGUUUAUCAAGUGAAGAGCUUGAAUCCGCCGCUGAGAAACAUACAAGUAUAAGAAAGCAACCCAUA